rnacentral:rRNA from 1 species
ACACAUGAACAUUGACAAUUCGAACGCACAUUGCGGCCCUA